AAUCUUCCGCAAUGGACGAAAGUCUGACGGAGCAACGCCGCGUGAGUGAUGAAGGCUNNNGGGUCNUAAAACUCUGUUGUUAGNGAANAACAAGUACGAGAGUAACUGCUCGUACCUUGACGGUACCUAACCAGAAAGCCACGGCUAACUACGUGCCAGCAGCCGCGGUAAUACGUAGGUGGCAAGCGUUAUCCGGAAUUAUUGGGCGUAAAGCGCGCGCAGGCGGUUUCUUAAGUCUGAUGUGAAAGCCCACGGCUCAACCGUGGAGGGUCAUUGGAAACUGGGGAACUUGAGUGCAGAAGAGAAAAGCGGAAUUCCACGUGUAGCGGUGAAAUGCGUAGAGAUGUGGAGGAACACCAGUGGCGAAGGCGGCUUUUUGGUCCGUAACUGACGCUGAGGCGCGAAAGCGUGGGGAGCAAACAGG
rnacentral:rRNA from 1 species